GAUGAACGCUGGCGGCGUGCCUAAUACAUGCAAGUCGAGCGAACGGACGAGAAGCUUGCUUCUCUGAUGUUAGCGGCGGACGGGUGAGUAACACGUGGAUAACCUACCUAUAAGACUGGGAUAACUUCGGGAAACCGGAGCUAAUACCGGAUAAUAUUUUAAACCGCAUGGUUCAAAAGUGAAAGACGGUCUUGCUGUCACUUAUAGAUGGAUCCGCGCUGCAUUAGCUAGUUGGUAAGGUAACGGCUUACCAAGGCAACGAUGCAUAGCCGACCUGAGAGGGUGAUCGGCCACACUGGAACUGAGACACGGUCCAGACUCCUACGGGAGGCAGCAGUAGGGAAUCUUCCGCAAUGGGCGAAAGCCUGACGGAGCAACGCCGCGUGAGUGAUGAAGGUCUUCGGAUCGUAAAACUCUGUUAUUAGGGAAGAACAUAUGUGUAAGUAACUGUGCACAUCUUGACGGUACCUAAUCAGAAAGCCACGGCUAACUACGU
rnacentral:rRNA from 1 species